CCUACGGGAGGCAGCAGUAGGGAAUCUUCCACAAUGGGCGAAAGCCUGAUGGAGCAACGCCGCGUGGGUGAAGAAGGUCUUCGGAUCGUAAAACCCUGUUGUUAGAGAAGAAAGUGCGUGAGAGUAACUGUUCACGUUUCGACGGUAUCUAACCAGAAAGCCACGGCUAACUACGUGCCCGCAGCCGCGGUAAUACGUAGGUGGCAAGCGUUAUCCGGAUUUAUUGGGCGUAAAGGGAGCGCAGGCGGUCUUUUAAGUCUGAUGUGAAAGCCUUCGGCUUAACCGGAGUAGUGCAUUGGAAACUGGCAGACUUGAGUGCAGUAGAGGAGAGUGGAACUCCAGGUGUAGCGGUGAAAUGCGUAGAUAUAUGGAAGAACACCAGUGGCGAAAGCGGCUCUCUGGUCUGUAACUGACGCUGAGGUUCGAAAGCGUGGGUAGCAAACAGGAUUAGAUACCCUGGUAGUC
rnacentral:rRNA from 1 species